CGACCGGGUGAGUAACACGUGACUAACCUACCUUCGAGUGGGGGAUAACUCCGGGAAACCGGAGCUAAUACCGCAUAACAUCGCAAGAUCAAAGCAGCAAUGCGCUUGAAGAGGGGCCCGCGCCUGAUUAGCUAGUUGGUGAGGUAAUGGCUCACCAAGGCAACGAUCAGUAUCCGGCCUGAGAGGGCGGACGGACACACUGGGACUGAGACACGGCCCAG
rnacentral:rRNA from 1 species